AUCUACGGCCAUAGAAUCUACGAAACAUCGCAUCCCGUUAGCUCUGCACAAUUAAGUUGGAUAUCGCUCGAUUAGUACCAAAGUGGGGGACCAUCUGGGAAUCUCGAGUGCUGUAGUUU
rfam:Cryptococcus bestiolae CBS 10118 unplaced genomic scaffold supercont1.1, whole genome shotgun sequence.